UGGGGAGACUUGAAGCAAGAGUUCAAGUCGCUAAUGAAGAAAGGCCGCUGUGAUUGUUCAGGGGGCAAAGCACUACAAUGCGGCAGUCCCUGCUCAGGGAGCAGCAAAAUAAGGAUGGCCACGCAGGCAAGCCUUCAGAUGAGGCCGAGUCUGUAUGAGUUUUACAACAGACAGCGAGACCUGAAGUGGCUGGCUCAAGUACAGAAAUGGACUAACACUGAGAAAUCCCAAGAGGAAAAUGUGCUUUCAUCCGAGCGGAGGCCAGACAGCCAAUUAUCCUUCCUUAAUAAGAACAACAACUGCUCGAUGCUGCAUCAUACUUGAAACUAAUAAUGAGUUAAAUAAAGACAUCAGCAACUGGUGGAAAGUGAAAGAA
rnacentral:lncRNA from 1 species